AGGGUAGAAGACUAAUUGGUUAGUCGUCUUAUUUGGGAUAAGGAAAUUACAGGUUCGAAUCCUGUCUACCCUA
rnacentral:tRNA from 2 species